AGGCACCAGGCACAGCUCGUUUCUGGUGCAGGCCUGAGCUACUUGCUGAAGUGGGCUAGUCUGCCUUGGUGUUCAGAGUCUGUAGCUCUGUCUGUCUGCACAGCCUCCCCCUCCCCCCCCCCCCAAGCUCACUGAGUUCUGGGCUUCCUUCCCAGGGCUCUGAGCCUUUGACUCGCUCCUUCCCUUCCCACGGCUGAGUUGGCACAGGAGCACCUGAGCGAGCUGCACCAGACUUUAUGAAGAUGAGGCCCCCGAUUCUGUUAGCUGCCCUCCUCUGGCUCCCUGGCUUUCUGGCCCAGGAAGAUGUCUGCUCAUCCUUGGACGGGAGCCCAGACGGGCAGGGUGGAGGUCCACCUCUGAGUGUGAACGUCAGCAGCCGUG
ensembl:processed_transcript